ACUAGCAGUAAGAGUUUGAUCAUGGCUCAGAUUGAACGCUGGCGGCGUGCCUAACACAUGCAAGUCGAACGGAUCCUUCGGGAUUAGUGGCGGACGGGUGAGUAACACGUGGGAACGUGCCUUUUGGUUCGGAAUAACUCAGGGAAACCUGUGCUAAUACCGGAUGUGCCCUUCGGGGGAAAGAUUUAUCGCCAUUAGAGCGGCCCGCGUCUGAUUAGCUAGUUGGUGAGGUAAAGGCUCACCAAGGCGACGAUCAGUAGCUGGUCUGAGAGGAUGAUCAGCCACACUGGGACUGAGACACGGCCCAGACUCCUACGGGAGGCAGCAGUGGGGAAUAUUGGACAAUGGGCGCAAGCCUGAUCCAGCCAUGCCGCGUGAGUGAAGAAGGCCCUAGGGUUGUAAAGCUCUUUCAGCGGGGACGAUAAUGACGGUACCCGCAGAAGAAGCCCCGGCUAACUUCGUGCCAGCAGCCGCGGUAAUAC
rnacentral:rRNA from 1 species